rnacentral:rRNA from 1 species
UUAAGCGACUAAGCGUACACGGUGGAUGCCCUGGCAGUCAGAGGCGAUGAAGGACGUGCUAAUCUGCGAUAAGCGUCGGUAAGGUGAUAUGAACCGUUAUAACCGGCGAUUUCCGAAUGGGGAAACCCAGUGUGUUUCGACACACUAUCAUUAACUGAAUCCAUAGGUUAAUGAGGCGAACCGGGGGAACUGAAACAUCUAAGUACCCCGAGGAAAAGAAAUCAACCGAGAUUCCCCCAGUAGCGGCGAGCGAACGGGGAGCAGCCCAGAGCCUGAAUCAGUGUGUGUGUUAGUGGAAGCGUCUGGAAAGGCGCGCGAUACAGGGUGACAGCCCCGUACACAAAAAUGCACAUGCUGUGAGCUCGAUGAGUAGGGCGGGACACGUGGUAUCCUGUCUGAAUAUGGGGGGACCAUCCUCCAAGGCUAAAUACUCCUGACUGACCGAUAGUGAACCAGUACCGUGAGGGAAAGGCGAAAAGAACCCCGGCGAGGGGAGUGAAAAAGAACCUGAAACCGUGUACGUACAAGCAGUGGGAGCCUCUCUUUAUGGGGGGUGACUGCGUACCUUUUGUAUAAUGGGUCAGCGACUUAUAUUCUGUAGCAAGGUUAACCGAAUAGGGGAGCCGAAGGGAAACCGAGUCUUAACUGGGCGUUAAGUUGCAGGGUAUAGACCCGAAACCCGGUGAUCUAGCCAUGGGCAGGUUGAAGGUUGGGUAACACUAACUGGAGGACCGAACCGACUAAUGUUGAAAAAUUAGCGGAUGACUUGUGGCUGGGGGUGAAAGGCCAAUCAAACCGGGAGAUAGCUGGUUCUCCCCGAAAGCUAUUUAGGUAGCGCCUCGUGAAUUCAUCUCCGGGGGUAGAGCACUGUUUCGGCAAGGGGGUCAUCCCGACUUACCAACCCGAUGCAAACUGCGAAUACCGGAGAAUGUUAUCACGGGAGACACACGGCGGGUGCUAACGUCCGUCGUGAAGAGGGAAACAACCCAGACCGCCAGCUAAGGUCCCAAAGUCAUGGUUAAGUGGGAAACGAUGUGGGAAGGCCCAGACAGCCAGGAUGUUGGCUUAGAAGCAGCCAUCAUUUAAAGAAAGCGUAAUAGCUCACUGGUCGAGUCGGCCUGCGCGGAAGAUGUAACGGGGCUAAACCAUGCACCGAAGCUGCGGCAGCGACGCUGAUGCGUUGUUGGGUAGGGGAGCGUUCUGUAAGCCUGCGAAGGUGUACUGUGAGGUAUGCUGGAGGUAUCAGAAGUGCGAAUGCUGACAUAAGUAACGAUAAAGCGGGUGAAAAGCCCGCUCGCCGGAAGACCAAGGGUUCCUGUCCAACGUUAAUCGGGGCAGGGUGAGUCGACCCCUAAGGCGAGGCCGAAAGGCGUAGUCGAUGGGAAACAGGUUAAUAUUCCUGUACUUGGUGUUACUGCGAAGGGGGGACGGAGAAGGCUAUGUUGGCCGGGCGACGGUUGUCCCGGUUUAAGCGUGUAGGCUGGUUUUCCAGGCAAAUCCGGAAAAUCAAGGCUGAGGCGUGAUGACGAGGCACUACGGUGCUGAAGCAACAAAUGCCCUGCUUCCAGGAAAAGCCUCUAAGCAUCAGGUAACAUCAAAUCGUACCCCAAACCGACACAGGUGGUCAGGUAGAGAAUACCAAGGCGCUUGAGAGAACUCGGGUGAAGGAACUAGGCAAAAUGGUGCCGUAACUUCGGGAGAAGGCACGCUGAUAUGUAGGUGAAGUCCCUCGCGGAUGGAGCUGAAAUCAGUCGAAGAUACCAGCUGGCUGCAACUGUUUAUUAAAAACACAGCACUGUGCAAACACGAAAGUGGACGUAUACGGUGUGACGCCUGCCCGGUGCCGGAAGGUUAAUUGAUGGGGUUAGCGCAAGCGAAGCUCUUGAUCGAAGCCCCGGUAAACGGCGGCCGUAACUAUAACGGUCCUAAGGUAGCGAAAUUCCUUGUCGGGUAAGUUCCGACCUGCACGAAUGGCGUAAUGAUGGCCAGGCUGUCUCCACCCGAGACUCAGUGAAAUUGAACUCGCUGUGAAGAUGCAGUGUACCCGCGGCAAGACGGAAAGACCCCGUGAACCUUUACUAUAGCUUGACACUGAACAUUGAGCCUUGAUGUGUAGGAUAGGUGGGAGGCUUUGAAGUGUGGACGCCAGUCUGCAUGGAGCCGACCUUGAAAUACCACCCUUUAAUGUUUGAUGUUCUAACGUGGACCCGUAAUCCGGGUUGCGGACAGUGUCUGGUGGGUAGUUUGACUGGGGCGGUCUCCUCCUAAAGAGUAACGGAGGAGCACGAAGGUUGGCUAAUCCUGGUCGGACAUCAGGAGGUUAGUGCAAUGGCAUAAGCCAGCUUGACUGCGAGCGUGACGGCGCGAGCAGGUGCGAAAGCAGGUCAUAGUGAUCCGGUGGUUCUGAAUGGAAGGGCCAUCGCUCAACGGAUAAAAGGUACUCCGGGGAUAACAGGCUGAUACCGCCCAAGAGUUCAUAUCGACGGCGGUGUUUGGCACCUCGAUGUCGGCUCAUCACAUCCUGGGGCUGAAGUAGGUCCCAAGGGUAUGGCUGUUCGCCAUUUAAAGUGGUACGCGAGCUGGGUUUAGAACGUCGUGAGACAGUUCGGUCCCUAUCUGCCGUGGGCGCUGGAGAACUGAGGGGGGCUGCUCCUAGUACGAGAGGACCGGAGUGGACGCAUCACUGGUGUUCGGGUUGUCAUGCCAAUGGCACUGCCCGGUAGCUAAAUGCGGAAGAGAUAAGUGCUGAAAGCAUCUAAGCACGAAACUUGCCCCGAGAUGAGUUCUCCCUGACCCUUUAAGGGUCCUGAAGGAACGUUGAAGACGACGACGUUGAUAGGCCGGGUGUGUAAGCGCAGCGAUGCGUUGAGCUAACCGGUACUAAUGAACCGUGAGGCUUAACCUU